AGGCUGCAAAAAUCAAUUUGCUCCAUGUAAGACAUGUUAGAGGCUUCAGGCAGAGGCAGGAUGGGAUGAAGUGAAGCUAUUUUAGAGUGGAUUAGUGUCAUGUCAGUUUCCACCCAAGACAUUAAAGUGUCUCACACAAAGCCUCCGAACCUGCAGGGGGCAGUGGGGGUUUGUAUUGACUGCUGGACUUCCUGAAUCCCACUUCCUGUAGUAGGUUUCUUCUGGCCUGCUACUCACAAGGAAAUGUUUGAGAACAAAGGAAGACACACAGACCUGUCAGCAGACCCUCACCUCAACAACUCGCUCAGCUUAAGGCAAGACACUGACGACACAACUGGUAAAGACUGGACUUAAUAAGCAGAUAAAUGCAUAUAGAAAAUUUAAGUUUGAAUGUUUAAUAAUGAAGAUUGUUUAUUUGUUUAAUUAGAGCUACAUUGCUAUGCUUUUUAGUUAAGUCCUGUUGUGUUGUGUUGGUUUAAAAAUAUGUAAUAUUGGGUUUUUGUUUUAUUUUUAAAGGUUAUCAACCUAUUAUCUCUUCAGACUGAUUUCUAAAUAAAGGAAAAGAAGAGAAUUUUGAGUUGUCCCUUGCGUCCUUAAGUGUCAGCCGGGCAGUUUUUCAAGUUUGGGCAGAAGCUGAGAAGAAAAACCAGGCAUAACUUGACAGUUGAUAACCACGUGGCAGGGAGGAUUAAAGGCCUUAAGAAACUGUCGACGUCGGGGGAAGUAACUAGCAACAAUGGCGGAGGAAGCUCUCGGGAAGGGAGUGAAGCAGCUAAAGCGAGAAAGGACUAUAGCUAAAGGUGCCUUCACAAAACAAGCGAACUACCUGAGCUGGGCUGCUGCUAACAUGACGAAGACUGAACUACAAGAGGAGUUCAAGAUACUAACCUCUCAUGCCAGGAAGGUCAGUGAAGUAAAUGAUGAUUAUUGGACUGGCCUAUUGGCAGAUAUUGCGGAAGCUGAAGAGGAGGGCAGAGAAGCUAAACUGAGCACACAGCUGCAGGCAGAUCUGGAGAGGACAAUGAAGGAUUGCGAGGCCAGACUGGAAGAAGUUAAAAAGGCAGUCCAACACAACCUCUGGUCCAGAUACGGAGAAGAGGAGGUGGAGUCUGCUAUCCAGGAAGCAGAAGCAGCCUGUGAAAGAGCUCAUGUAAUUCCAGUUUCUGCUGUGAACAAAGACGGCUAUGAGCUACGUCUGGAUGGUGCAAAGAAACUGGUCCAAGAUGCAACUGCAUGCCUUACAGUUUGGGAAAUAUGGAUUUCAGAGGAGGAGAAGGCAAGUCUGGAUGGCAGAGUGAAGGGGCUGAAGACAUGCUAUAAUAAGCUUGAGGCCAGAAAGGCAGAAUUCCUCAUAGCACAAAGAGUUGCAGAAGGGGAGAGACGAGAAACGAUCAAUGAGACACCUUUACAAGUUGGGCAGCCAGGUCAGCAAGCACUACUAAAAAUCCGGCCUAUCAGCCUUCCCAAAUUCCUUGGAUUCAGAAGGAACUUCCAUCGAUGGAAGAGAGACUGGGAGAGUCUGCAAAGGCAGGGGGAGCCCACUGGCUCAGCUGAAGCAAAGAAGAUCCAGCUCUUAGACAGUGUUGAAGAGAAGAUAAGUAGAGACCUGCGGUUGUCCACGUAUAAUACUGCUGAAGACAUGUUCAGGGUGCUCGAGAACAGAUAUGGGAACAAAUCUGCAAUUACCUUGGAGAUAAUCGAGGAUUUGGAGAGAAUUCCUGUCCUGAAGUCAAACCAGCCAAGGAAGACAAUUGACUUGAUCCAAUCUGUAGAGAAGGCCCUCAGUGAUCUCACAGAACUUGGAAAUUCAGGAGCCCUCAAGAACCCUCUGGUCAUCAAAGCUAUAGAGAGCAAGCUACCAGACAACAUGAAAAAGGACUGGCUUGUAUUCAUGGUCAACCCAGCAAAUGGUGUCACACCAGACAAUCACUUUGAUAGCCUCCUCACAUUCCUGAAAACUCAAGAAGGAAUUCUGGAAAAAUUAGAGCAGCUUGGAGUGGGUGAGAGGAAUGAUAAAAAACCUGCUUACACAGAGAAGAAGUUUGCUUCGACUCGUUCCACAAGAAAAGGCGGAUGUGUUGUCUGUGGAGAUGAAAAGCACAGAGACAAGAUUUUCUUUUGCAAGCGGUUCAAAGAACUGAAGCCUAAUGAAAAGCUGGAUGCUGUGGAGAAACUGGGAGCAUGCAAAAGGUGCCUAUUAUGUCAUGAAGAUGAUGACGAGUGUACAGAUACUUACCUGUGUAGAAAUCGAAACUGUAGGAAAGGAGGUCCUGCACACCAUUUCUUUCUUUGCCGGAGAGGGGACUCUAAGAAGAGUGAAACGGACAGAGCACCGAAGUCAAGUGUGAGUAAGCACAAACUUACAGAAGAGCAGGAAAAAUUUGUGUCUGAACUCUCCCCAGAGAUGGCGGAAAGAUUUCGAAGAGCUUUCACUAACAUCACUGGGAAAACACACUGCACUGAGAAGAACCGGCUUGAUGUGAUGGAGCUAAGUGAGCUACCAGUCAUUCUGAUGCUGCUGGAGGUAACUGCCAAUGCAGGACAGAAGAUUGGAACACUCAUAGACUUGGCAUCAGACACUAACUACAUCACCCACAGAGCAGCCAGAAGAUUAAAUCUACGCAGUGAGAAGAUUACUCUGGUCGUCCAUGGGGUCGGUGGAAUGGCUAUGAAGGUGAGGACCAGAAGGUAUCUGCUCAGGGUGAGGGUCAAGACACCCACAGGUACAGAAAGAGCUCAUGAGCUCGUCUGCUAUGGCUUGGAUGAUAUUGCAAAGGUGCACAAAGCAAUCAAACCAAAGCAACUCCAAAAACUCUUCCCAGAAGUCAGCCUGGAAGACCUGCGCAGACCAACACGCAUUGAACUGCUGAUCAGUCACCGUGAAGGAAGACUGGCUCCACAGAGAGUGAAGGUGAUUGGAGACCUUGUCCUAUGGGAGGGCCCAUUGGGGAAGACUGUUGGUGGAGCACAUCCAGAUCUCUUUGAGGAAGUUGACAUGACUGCAUGCACAUCUGAAACACACUUUGCCCGAUCUAUGAGAACCACAGCAGUAAAAUACCAAGAGCUCACUGAAACUGAAGAACUCAAAGCUGAAACCAAGAACACACUUGCUGGCAGAGUAUUU
rnacentral:lncRNA from 1 species